AAACCAUGAUGUGGAUAGCUCCUUAAUAAAUCCUUGACCCAUUUCCAACAAUCAUACAAAGUUUCAUUCUUCUGCAGAAGAAACCCUGCUAUGUCAUUCCUCAACUU
rnacentral:snoRNA from 1 species